CUCAGUGUGUGACUCAUAGGAAGGUGUGGCACGGGGACGUGCCUGUCACAGCCUCUGUCCCCCAUUGUCCACGGGGGAUGUUUUCAGAGAAUCACAGACCACUGAGCCUUAAUGAAGAUCAUCUGUUCCCAUCCCUUCAUUUUUGCCGCUGGGGAAUUGGAGACCGGAUUGAUUCCUCAAGGGAUUUCUCAAAAGCCACAGGUGAUUUUGUAACAGGAUGGAGACCAAGCCAGCCCACUGCCUUCCAGGAGCCCCUGUGCACAUGGCCUUGUGUCCAGACCCUCACGCAUCUCGGUGCUUCUUCCCUGAAGCUGCCCAGACACAGGUGGUCUGUCUGAUCAUCGUGUCUGUGAGUCAAGCCCUCUGGCCGUUUCUAUCUUUGCCCAAAUUCCCACUUGGGAUGUCCACAGGGAACAGAGCUGCUUUUCCAUCGAAGAGAGUCAGCAUCAGCUGGCUUUGGCAGGAAUUUUCUCUGUAGCUCCAAUCAGUGCACAGUCUUGAGCCAACCGUCCCACAGGCUGUUGAAGGAUUUCAAAGGUAGCGUGACUGAUGUAAUGUUUCUGAUUGGAAAGUGGCGAAAGAGCUCUCAGCAACCCACUCUCCUUAAUUACAUGAAGCAAACACCUCCUCAAGGAUAACCACAGAAGCCUGUUUCAGUCUCGGCUCCCAGCCCGUCCACCCUGCUUGCUGACCAGCACAGAGAGGUGAAAAGCUGACCCUGCUGAAUGAAAAAGCGAAAGGACCCACAGGUCCACUGCUUGGGACUGUGGGAUUAUGUGUGAUUCUGCAGCAUCAUUUCCUAAUUUACACUCCUCUUCCCAGAUUGCUCAUGUCAAUCUGUAGACAGUGUUCACCCCGAAAUCCCAAUGUGCUUCUGAAUUAUGGAGCAGCUCAGGAGGGGCCUGGCCUCACCAGUGAGCCCCCAGCCAAGUGCAAGGGGGGGCUUCAACACUGAACAGCCACUGAUCUCACAAGGGAAGCUCAAGGGGGUGGAGGGCCAGGGCCCCACAUCAUCGCAGAGGGGCAGGGGGCACCAGUGCCCGUUCCCUUCCCUCCACUAGUCAGAUCCUCCUCCUCCGCAGGCCUCUUCUCUGGCCUCCCUGCCUCCAAUCCAGACAAUUUUCCUUCACAGAUCAGUCUUUGCCAAGCCCUUCCAUGCCCCACCUUUGCUUAGAGGCCGACCUUGGUAUAUGGGGCCUGCCCCAAUCUCAUUUCCUGCCCCCAAAACAGAUGUGUUUCUGGAUGUUCCCCAAAUUGACAUCUGCAAGCAGAUCUGUCUCUUUUCUAGCACAACCCUCACCCCUGAGCCCACACCUGCUUACACACACACACACUCACGCACACACACUUUCUCUCUCUCUCUCUCCUCUAGAUUUAUCCAUCAUCACUUGAAUGCCUGCUAUGUGUCAGGGGAAGAAAACUAAAAGCUUCAUUGAGCACCUGUCACAUGCCAGGUCUUUAUCGAGUCUCCUCGCAUC
rnacentral:lncRNA from 1 species